GACGAACGCUGGCGGCGUGCUUUAGGGAUGCGAGUCGAGCGGUUUUUUCUGGAACUUGAAACUUCGGUCGAUUGUUCCUCUAAAAAUAGCGGCAGACGACUGAGUAACACGUAGACAACUUACCCUCAACACAGAGAUAGCCACGCGAAAGUGUGGGUAAUAUCUGAUAGCCCGUAUAGGUGAAAAUCCAGUACGGUAAAGGCGCAAGCCGGUUGAAGAGAGGUCUGCGGCCCAUCAGCUAGUUGGCAGGAUAACAGCCUACCAAGGCGAGGACGGGUAGGGGGCGUGAGAGCGCGACCCCCCAGGAUGGCACUGAGACACGGGCCAUACUCCUACGGGAGGCAGCACUCGGGAAUUUUCCACAAUGGACGAAAGUCUGAUGGAGCGACGCCGCGUGAAGGAUGAAGGUUUUCGGAUCGUAAACUUCUUUUGCCAAGGAAUAGGAAGGAAGGUACUUGGCGAAUAAGGGGCUGCUAACUGCGUGCCAGAAGCAUCGGUGAUACGUGGGCCCCAAGCGUUGUCCGGAUUUAUUGGGCGUAAAGCGAACGUAGGCGGUUAAGAGGAUUUUGUUUCAAAGACCCCAGCUCACCUGGGGGAAGGGAUAGAAUAUCGCUUGACUUGAAUUGAGCAGGGGAGAUCGGAACGCGUGGUGGAGCGGUGAAAUGUGUUGAUAUCACGCGGAACGCCGGUGACGAAGGUUGAUCUCUGGACUCAUAUUGACGCUCAUGUUCGAAAGCUAGGGGAGCGAAACGGAUUAGAUACCCGUGUAGUCCUAGCCCUAAAUGAUGUCUGCUAGGCGUUGGAUUAAGCGUAUUUGUUCCUUCGGGAGCUCUUAUGACAAUUCAGUGUCGAAGUUAACACGGUAAGCAGACCGCCUGGGUAGUACGGCCGCAAGGUUGAAACUCAAAGGAAUUGGCGGGGACCCGCACAAGUUGUGGAGCGCGUGGUUUAAUCCGACGGUAAUCGUAUAAUCUUACCAAGGUUGGACAUACUGUUGCAUUCCACUAGAAAUAGAGGAAGCCUUCGAGGGUGCAGUACAGGUGCUGCAUGGCCGUCGUCAGCUCGUGCCGUGAGGUGUACCGUUAAGUCGGGUAACGAGCGAAACCCCUAUCCCAUGUUACAAGUGUCUUGGGAAACUGCCGUGGUAAAACACGGAGGAAGGGGGGGAUGAUGUCUGGUCAUCAUGGCCCUUAUACCUUGGGCUACACACACGCUACAAUGGUUGGGACAGCGAGUUGCUACACUGCGAAGUGAUGCUAAUCUCAUAAACCCAGCCCUAGUUCAGAUUGCAGGCUGAAACUCGCCUGCGUGAAGCCGGAAUAACUAAUAAUCGCAGAUCAGCCAUGCUGCGGUGAAUACGUUCUCGGGUCUUGCACACACCGCCCGUCAAACUCCCAAAAUUGGGAUUACCUAAAGAUUUUUGAAAUUUAUUUUAAGGGUUUAGGGUAAGAUCAGUAAUGGGGGU
rnacentral:rRNA from 1 species